rnacentral:rRNA from 1 species
GAUGAACGCUGGCGGCGUGCCUAAUACAUGCCAGUCGAACGCUGAAGCUUGGUGCUUGCACCGAGCGGAUGAGUUGCGAACGGGUGAGUAACGCGUAGGUAACCUGCCUCUUAGCGGGGGAUAACUAUUGGAAACGAUAGCUAAUACCGCAUAAAAGUCGAUAUCGCAUGAUAUUGAUUUGAAAGGUGCAAAUGCAUCACUAAGAGAUGGACCUGCGUUGUAUUAGCUAGUUGGUGAGGUAACGGCUCACCAAGGCGACGAUACAUAGCCGACCUGAGAGGGUGAUCGGCCACACUGGGACUGAGACACGGCCCAGACUCCUACGGGAGGCAGCAGUAGGGAAUCUUCGGCAAUGGGGGCAACCCUGACCGAGCAACGCCGCGUGAGUGAAGAAGGUUUUCGGAUCGUAAAGCUCUGUUGUAAGAGAAGAACGAGUGUGAGAGUGGAAAGUUCACACUGUGACGGUAACUUACCAGAAAGGGACGGCUAACUACGUG